AUAAAUGAUGUGUAGUUUAGGUAAUUCUGCAUUUCUCUAUUCCAUUCCUGCAAAUUUUCAGACCAUUCAGGAAGUUGCAAGAAUAACAUACGCCCGAUAUUUUUGGCUAUUAUCAAUGCAGGUAAUAGAAUAUAUUUUCGAAGAAUUGAUUGAGUUAUUACAUGUAACCUCUUAUUAUUUGUGCCAAAGAAAUGGCAUCCCAGGCUUCUUCGAUCGCUAUCCGUGCUCUUUUGUUAUCCUCUUUUUUGUCCUUUUCUUUUUUCUCUUCUCUUUUUGUUUGUUCUUCUCUAGACUCUAGAAUCUUGAAUUCUCCCUCUUUAUCUGUCCAAUUUUUCAAAAUUGAUUUAAUUAGUUCAGAGAUAUCAAAAGAAAAACGACGUAGGGGGGUUAUUCUGUCGACAAAAAGGGGGGAAUGUACAUUUGCUUGAAAUAGUUUCGAAAUAAAUGUUUUGCGCCUUUGAGCCCGCAUAGAGCCUGUAAUUAUACCUCGCUCCUUUUUGGCAUUGGAUAUCUUUAGCCAAAUUAUGCUAUAAUCUUUCACCUAUAUAUAUUCGAAAAGUUCUAUUUUUUUUUGGAGAGAGAAAAAGUUCCAAGAACGCAUAAAUUUAUCCUCCCCUACUGUGUUUCAUUUUUAUUGAAUCUUAGUUAGAUCCUGGCCCUUAGUUUCAUAUCAAAAGAGCUUGUCGAUUCAUUAGAACAGUAUCUUUUCGCACAUAUAUAUGUGAUGAAAAUAGUUUUCGUAAGAUUUCCUACAUUCUUAAAGAAUAUUUUAAAACUUAUUCCUGCAGAAAAUCAAUUACUACACAAAUACGGAAGAGUAGAUAUAAAAAGGGGUCUGUUUGGGUUGAGUUGUGAUAAUUCAAAGUUUUGUUGUCUUUGCUGUCUAAGGAAUUAGCACAGAAUUGAACUUAUUUGUGGGGGUUGUGUCAAGGUUAGUUGUGCAACUUCAAUGCGAGGUGAAGCCUUUUGCAUUCAUCUUAAUAUAAGGUACUUGUAUUUGGCUCCGUUGGUAAGUUGAACCCUUAUACUAAUAAGGGAUCUGCAAAAUCGAACCAAACUGCAAAUCGAGUCAAAUUGGAAAAAAACACGACUAGUGCUUGGUUGACAUUACAAAAAAUACCAACUAUAUUUGGAUUGGUUUGAUUUUAACUAAAAAAAAUUAACCCGACACCAAAUCAACCCGUAUUAUAUGUAUAAUUUAAAAAUUUUAUUUUAUACAUAAAACUAUUAACGUUGAUAUAAUUUUUAAAUA